ACAAGAAAAAAAAAACGUACGCCUCCGCUCCUCUCUCGAUCCACCCCUCGCGAUGCGACCUCUCUCUCCCUCUUAGGGUUCCCUCAAGCGAGGCCUCCAGAUCCCUUCGCCGCAAGCCUCCGAUCACCUUCCCGGCUCCCGGUGCCGCCCGCCCCCAUCUCCUCCCCGAUCCCGGCGCCACCCGCCCCCACCUUCUCCCUCACUCCCGGCGCAGCCCCACGAUCCGUUGCAUCACAGUGGGACGAGUCAUGGCAAUGGUGACGGCGGCCGGCAUGGUGUCCCGGCCGCCGCAUGUCUCCCUCCUCCCGCGAUCUCGGCCGCCGCAUGUCUCCCUCCUCCCGCGAUCCCGGCCGCUGCAUGUCUCCCUCCUCCCCUGAUCCCGGUCACUGCAUGUCUCCCUCCACCUGCAGCUACACCUCUGCCCCUCGCCUCCCGCAUAGGUGCCAGAAGCCUUUUACGUCACGGAUCCGAGAGACUGGAGGCCGAUCUUGUCGGUGAGGAGACGGUGGCGGCGACGACGAGCCGCCCCCCUUGGCGCCGUUGCCGCUGGGCAUCGAUACAAAGGAGUGGUGGAUGCCAACGCCUCGAGGCCUGCCUCAAGUACAAAUCAUUAGCGUCAAAUAUUCAAUCAACAUACGACCACUAAGGGGAUCCAUCGGUGCAAUAUGAAUGAUGAAGGAGAAGAGCAACGAACACAAAUCUUCCCCAUGGCUAUUGAUUUUAUGCACAUCGGUUGCAUCAUGUGAUAUGGUAAACCAACAGAGGUAUGUGGAUAAUCCAAACUGCUUAUUUUUCGUCCGACACCGCCCCACCUUCAGUAACCUGUUUGCUAGCAAAAUGUCACACCAGGUUUGUUUCAAAGUAUCAGUUCAAAAUAUGGCGAUUGAAUAAAAAACACUAUCUUAUUUUUUAUCUCACGGAUCAUACUUUAAAGUUAAUAAUUUUUAUAAUGCUCUGUAAUAGAGUCAUGUUGGUUGUGUAAUUCUUGAGUGAGUUACAUGUUCUCUCCAUCACCCCCUUUAUUUUGUGCAAAUCAAUUGCCUUCUUCAUGUGUUUCAGCUGCUAGGACUGAAGGCCGAAGUAAUGUAUGUUUAAUCUCAGCAAUUUAGUUAUAAGUCUAAUUAAUUCAUACCAUCUCUGAAACAUUCAGUUUAAUUGGUUGCAUACUUGCCAAAGAUCGUAUGACACAGUAGCCAUGGACGCCACAUCAGCUUGGGAACAUGGCCACAACAGAUUGGUAUCUUCUCUUCUGAAAUUGGUUGCAUACUUGCCAAAGGUCGCAUGACUCAGCAGCCAUGGACGCCACAUCUGCUUGGGAAUGUGUCCGCAACAGAUUGAUAUUUGUUGGAUGGCAACUCUAAGCUGCAUGCAUGUUCAUUGGGAGAAUCAUGAUGAAUCUUUGAUGAACACUGUCAAAGAUGAAAAGCCGAAUUCUUUGAUUCCCCGGGCUGUCAGGGAUUUUGUACUUCCAGCAGGUUUUCUAGGUGAAUGUUGGCAUCCCCUUGUGGUUUGGUUAUGCAUCUAUGCAUUGCUUUUGCUCUUUGUCAUGGAGUACUAACUGUGGAGGUUCAAGUUUACAAUCUUAGAAAUGCAGUGAUUGAUGUGUUUUCCAAUCGUAAUGCAUCAAACAAAUUGUUUUGCAGGUUAUGUACUUUAAUUAUCUGUAUCUUACCAUUCUUACCAAGUACUGUCAAAUGUACAGCUUGAUUUUGUAUAUGUAUUUCCCUCAGUUUCUUGUAGGUUCCUGCAUAAGAGGUCAUUAUUGCAGAGUUGGAGACUGAUACUAUGUUUAUCAGUACAUGCUAUUGGAAUUCCCAACAAACUUGACAGGAUGGAUCAGUCACAUGUUGGUUACAUCAAGUCUUCUAAAGGUAUCCCGUAAUCUAUUAAUCAAGAUGUUUGCAGAACUAAAUAAUGUUGUAGUGACUGAACGAUUACCUGAUAAAUUAAAUUCAGUAAGUAUAUCAUUUACAGUAGCAUCUUAUUCUUAUGUGAUGUAAUAUAUGAUCAUAUGGAUUGCAGUAUUUGAUAGCUCCAAAAUAACUUCAAGAUUUUGCCACGUGCUCUCAAACAAUCGUAGUCCGAAAAUUUGGUGGCCAGUUGCUGCUAUCUCUACUCUGCUUCGUCCUUUCGUAAUGGCAAUAAGAAAUCUUGAUUGCUGCCGACAUGAAAUUCUAACUGAAUUUGUUAUUCAGCGGGCAAAUCCAACAUCUUUUUGUACUGUAUUUGCAUGUUCCAGGAUAAUUUGGUGGCAAAAGAGCUACAUCGUUUCUCACUAGACCAACAGACAAUAGUAGUGAUACCUUUGCAUUUAUAUAGUACCAUAUUUACUCAUCUAUAUACACUGUUCCUUUCAUUCCUCACACCACAAGUAUCUAACAGCCGGAUAGGUCCAGUCCAGCCGAGACACAUAUAUUCCAGUCCAACAUACUCCCUCCAUCCAAAAAAGCUUGUCCCAAGCUUUUUCGGAUGGAGGGAAUAUAUAGUCCAGGCACACAUGCUCUAACGUGAUUUCACGAGAGACAGUUAGGCCAUCAACGGUAUAUCCGUAAAGAAUAGCGACAGCUAAAGGAAACCAUUCAGCAGGUAAGAAUGAGAUAGACUUUUCAGUGCCAGGCAACCAUUGCGCUGUAGAGAAGUGGAACAACAUUCAUGGUACUGCUAUUGUUAAUCGAAAGAACUUUCUUUUGUUAACAUGGUACCCACUAACGCAUGCAUAUGCAUUUUUCUCCUGUAGUCCUAGAGGGAUAAAGACACAUAUAAUUACGAUGGAGGUGACAGGCCUGAAAAUAUCUUUUUUUUAAUCUUGAAGGCAGUACGAGAGGCCCUAAUGACAUAUAUACAGUACUAACAAGAAUAUGGGGGCUUUCAUAACUUGAGGUAUUUACCUAGAUCCUUGAGAUGCUAUUCGUAUUGGCCUGAAUGCAGUUGAAUUCUGAAUCAUAAACAAGCUGGGAGAUUUGUCUUCCACAUAGUAGUUUUUAGUGCAUGCUCGGAGAACAAGAUAAGAGGAGAGGCUUGAAUCUUGAGAUGACAAGGGUAGUCACCUGCUGUGACUAAAGGAAGGAGGUCAAUGAAGCAAAAGGCACGAAAAGGAAGGAGCAGCGCCACAGGGACGAUGUUGUAGGCAGCGCUUUGGAAGGAUUCGCUCCAGAGAAGUUACGGUAGUCGGCCAUCGCCUAGGGGAAGCAGGGAGGAUGUCAUUCGAAACGCCUGGGUCUAGAGGAGUGUGUCCAGGUGGUGGCCGAGGAUGGCAAUGAGCAAUUGGGUUGGGCAUUUGUCAACGUGAUGGCGUCGUUGCUCAAGGUACCAACACCCUUGUUUAGACCCAAUGUUUCUCGGCUAGCUGUGCAUGGCUGGGACUGUUUCGUGCAUAUAGGGGACGGCUCAUGCCAUCCACUUCCAAAGCAAUAAGGUAGCCAUCCAUGUCACUAUCGCUUGCUGUUAGUUUUUUUGGAUUCCAUAGGUGUUCCUUAAUGCAUCAAUCAUUUUCAAUUAGGACGGGAGUCUGAAAAAUGUUGUAAGAUUAUCGCCAUUUUUUUAAACUACAAAAGUCCAAAGAUUAGAAGCAUGAUCUUUUAUUUUUCAUGUUGCUCUACCUCAGUAGUGUCAAAUCAUAGGAACUUUUAUCACAUAUGCUAAUUUAUCCUUGAUGGCAAAUAAUCCGAACAAAAUAUUUGGAAGUAAUGGAGGCCUCGCCAGAGUAAGGGGGAAAAUUGUGGGAGUGGACGCACAUCAUGUAGACUUGAAAGGAGAAAAUAUUGGCAAAAAGUACCUCAAAGUUCGUAGUCUGAGUGUAGAAGGUUUGGGGAUUUUGAGCCGGAUGGGCCAUUGAUGGUUGCGGUUGGCUUGGAUAGGGAAUGUAGAGAUAGUAAGUGAAGAGGAGCAGGAGAAUGAAGACGAAGAAGAAUAAUGGUUUAUAGGCAGAAAAAAAUUAAGAAUGUUGCUUAAUGUGCAUGAGGAUCCAUACAAUGUAUAUUUGACACGAUUAAAGUUGACUCAUGUCGAGCCUC